rnacentral:tRNA from 1 species
CGCGGGGUAGAGCAGCUUGCUAGCUCGCAAGGCUCAUAACCUUGAAGUAAGGGUUCAAAUCCCGUCUCCGCAA